AGUUGUAUGUACGGUUUCCAAGAGACUAUUUGGUUUGGUUGACUCUUCUGUCAACUCUCCAAACAUUCCUGAAAGAGGGCUGCAGGGUGACCUCCAGCAGACUGGAUGAGGGAGGCUGGCUUUUGUGUCAACAACUUAUGCAAGCAUCAGAUCCAGUGUUCUGGCAUUUGAAUUACAGCAUGUUCUAGAGAAAAAUAGAGUGUGGGAGCCAAGAACCCUCAUUUUAUACCUAAUGAGCUGUAAGGUUCUGGGCAAGUUUGAAAGCUUCCUACACCUGACUUUCUUCAUGUAAUCUCAUGAGCUGGUGGAGAGAGCAUAAACUGCAAAAACAGAUGAGAAAGUCAGUCAAAAGCAAAGUACUCUUUAUUUCCACAACUCGGACAAGUUUUCUGCAAUGAUAUUUGCGUGCCCUCCGUGUGUCAAGUUCUCUGUCACAGGCUUGAACAUGCAAGAGAAUCUCAAAAAAUGAUCCCUGAACCAGCAGCAUCAGCAUCACCUGUGAACUUGUUUGAAAUGCUAAUAUGGGGGCUCUACCCCAAAUCUACUGAAUCAUUAACUCAGCGGGUAGGGUCUAGCAAUCUGUGUUUUAACAAGCCUUUCAGGUGAUUCUGAAACACUUAAGUUUGACAAUUACUGCCGAGGACAGAUACUUGGGCUGCCUGUUGCAGUUUAUCAAACUGGCUGUUCAUUAGAAUCUCCUGGGAAGCCUUAUAAAAUUAUCAGUGCUGGGACUCCAAUGCCGUAGAUUCUAAUUUAUUUGGUCAGGGGUAGGCCAGGAAACCAGUAUUUUUAAAGUCUCCUAAGUGAUUCUAGUAUGUCUACCAGCAUUGAGUAUCACUAGCAUUUUAGGUAAUCUGGCUUUGACUCCUAGGCUUGAGCAACUUGGGGGACAGAAGGGAGGAGCUCAGCAUGCUUCCUCGGUUUAGGAUGAAGAGGAUAGGCAGGGAAGUAAGGAUAGUUCAGAAGAAUGUUUAAACAAGUCUGAAAUAAGAUACAUUUAAAUGUGAAAUGUGGAAGGGGAAGAAUUAUAAUUAAGCCAUAGUCUUCAGGGAACAUUUGAGGCAGUGAGCAUUUUAGGCUGAGUAACAGGAAAUAAGUUUAGAGAAAACCGGUGAAAGAGAGUCAGAGAUAAUACAACUGAGAUAAAUUAGGCUUGAAUAUUCCUUAUGGGGCUGUGCUGUGC
rnacentral:lncRNA from 1 species